rnacentral:lncRNA from 1 species
UGUGAUUGACUGUUGUCUGUUUGAUUGUUUGACUUGUAAACUGAUUGAUUUAGAUUUUUUCAGGUACCUAAGUUGCUUUGAGUUCUUUUGAACUUGCUUUUGCUUUGCUUGUUUGCUUAACCAUUGAGGUAUAACUCUCUGACUUCAUGUAGUCUGGAAGACCUGUCCUGUUAUGUGAGCAAACACCUGUCUGAAGCCCUCCUUAAGAGGUAAUGCUUGUGAAUGUUUGCU